UGGGGAAUAUUGCACAAUGGGGGAAACCCUGAUGCAGCGACGCCGCGUGGAGGAAGAAGGUCUUCGGAUUGUAAACUCCUGUUGUUGAGGAAGAUAAUGACGGUACUCAACAAGGAAGUGACGGCUAACUACGUGCCAGCAGCCGCGGUAAAACGUAGGUCACAAGCGUUGUCCGGAAUUACUGGGUGUAAAGGGAGCGCAGGCGGGAAGACAAGUUGGAAGUGAAAUCUAUGGGCUCAACCCAUAAACUGCUUUCAAAACUGUUUUUCUUGAGUAGUGCAGAGGUAGGCGGAAUUCCCGGUGUAGCGGUGGAAUGCGUAGAUAUCGGGAGGAACACCAGUGGCGAAGGCGGCCUACUGGGCACCAACUGACGCUGAGGCUCGAAAGUGUGGGUAGCAAACAGGAUUAGAUACCCCU
rnacentral:rRNA from 1 species